rfam:Fukomys damarensis contig76994, whole genome shotgun sequence.
AGUGAUGUAGCUGAGUGGUAGAGCACUUGCCUAGUAUGUGCAAGGCCCUAGGUUCAAUCCCUGGCGCCACAC